rnacentral:rRNA from 1 species
AGAACGAACGCUGGCGGCAUGCCUAACACAUGCAAGUCGAACGAGACCUUCGGGUCUAGUGGCGCACGGGUGCGUAACGCGUGGGAAUCUGCCCUUGGGUUCGGAAUAACAGCGAGAAAUUGCUGCUAAUACCGGAUGAUGACGUAAGUCCAAAGAUUUAUCGCCCAAGGAUGAGCCCGCGUAGGAUUAGCUAGUUGGUGAGGUAAAGGCUCACCAAGGCGACGAUCUGUAGCUGGUUUGAGUAGGACGACCAGCCACACUGGGACUGAGACACGGCCCAGACGUCCUACGGGAGGCAGCGAGUGGGAAUUUGGACAAGUGGGGAAACCCUGAUCCAGCCAUCCGCGUGUCGCGAUGAACGGCCUUCGGGUGUAAAGCGUACGUUUGGACUAGGGAAGAAACGGU